GCCCCUCAAAAGUAUGAAAGAAAAAAAAAACAUCUUAAUCCCUCCAAAAUCGAAAAAUUCUGAAGUAGCUUAAGCUAUAAAUAUAGGCAAUUUUUGUUAUUGGUUGGCAUAAGUAAGGAGCACAUGGCCAAGACUCUAAAAUCUGUUUAUAUGCUUCUCGUAUUCAUUAUCUUCAUCUUCCUUACAAGUGUGGCAAUAGAAGAGAUUUCCCAGAAAUAUUGCUCGCGUUUGAGCACAACAUGGCAUAAAACAUGUCGAGUGACACAAUUCUGUGACAAAAAAUGCAAAGAAUUGGAGCAUGCGGAUCACGGAGCAUGCAGGCGGUCUUCUUUGUGGUCCUUCAGUAAUAAAUGUUACUGCCUCUUCAAGUGUUGAAUAUGAGAUAUGAUAUGUUUACAAUCUUUGUAUAACUCAUGUUUAACCUUUUUUCAAACUAAUUAUUGAAUUUAUUUUCUUACAUGUGAGUCAUAUAUAUCUUAGAUAGGAGUUGUACAAAAGUUGUAAACGUAUAGUAUAUAUCUCGUUGAUUAUAGGCAAUUUGAAACAGGCGAGAACGGAUUGGUUUUAGAGAUACUAUAUGAGUUUUCCAUAUAUGCGUUUUAAGAUGUUUGUGGUCGUUGUAUAUAUUAUCCUGUAAUGUUUGUUCUUUUGGAUAAAUAUGUUUUCAACUUACCUGUUUCAUCAAUAUAUGUUAAGGAAAUUUGAAGGGUA